rnacentral:rRNA from 1 species
CCUUACCUGGCCUUGACAUACUAAGAACUUUCCAGAGAUGGAUUGGUGCCUUCGGGAACUUAGAUACAGGUGCUGCAUGGCUGUCGUCAGCUCGUGUCGUGAGAUGGUUGGGUUAAGUCCCGCAACGAGCGCAACCCUUUUCCUUAUUUGCCAGCGGGUUAAGCCGGGAACUUUAAGGAUACUGCCAGUGACAAACUGGAGGAAGGCGGGGACGACGUCAAGUCAUCAUGGCCCUUACGGCCAGGGCUACACACGUGCUACAAUGGUCGGUACAAAGGGUUGCUACCUCGCGAGAGGAUGCUAAUCUCAAAAAGCCGAUCGUAGUCCGGAUCGCAGUCUGCAACUCGACUGCGUGAAGUCGGAAUCGCUAGUAAUCGCGGAUCAGAAUGCCGCGGUGAAUACGUUCCCGGGCCUUGUACACACCGCCCGUCACACCAUGGGAGUUUGUUGCACCAGAAGUAGGUAGUCUAACCGCAAGGAGGACGCUUACCACGGUGUGGCCGAUGACUGGGGUGAAGUCGUAACAAGGUAGGCGUAGAUGA